AGUGUCUAUUGUGAAUGUGGAGCGAAAGGUGAAUGAGUCACGGCCUGCACUGGUGCACUUAACCGGGCAUCACAGCGACCGGGGAAAAUUGAAUGAUGAAGUGCUGGAUAUUUAGAAA